UACGUAGGGCGCAAGCGUUGUCCGGAUUUAUUGGGCGUAAAGAGCUCGUAGGCGGUUUGUCGCGUCUUCCGUGAAACUGGGGCUUAACUUCCAGCUUGCGGUGGAUACGGCGUGACUGGAGUGCGGCAGGGGAGACUGGAAUUCCUGGUGUAGCGGUGAAAUGCGCAGAUAUCAGGAGGAACACCGGUGGCGAAGGCGGGUCUCUGGGCCGAUACUGACGCUGAGGAGCGAAAGCGUGGGAGCGAACAGG
rnacentral:rRNA from 1 species